rnacentral:rRNA from 1 species
GAUGAACGCUGGCGGCGUGCCUAAUACAUGCAAGUCGAGCGAACAGAUGAGGAGCUUGCUCCUCUGACGUUAGCGGCGGACGGGUGAGUAACACGUGGAUAACCUACCUAUAAGACUGGGAUAACUUCGGGAAACCGGAGCUAAUACCGGAUAAUAUAUUGAACCGCAUGGUUCAAUAGUGAAAGACGGUUUUGCUGUCACUUAUAGAUGGAUCCGCGCCGCAUUAGCUAGUUGGUAAGGUAACGGCUUACCAAGGCAACGAUGCGUAGCCGACCUGAGAGGGUGAUAGGCCACACUGGAAGGGAGACACGGUCAAGACGCCUACGGGAGGGAGCAGUAGGGAAUCUUCCGCAAUGGGCGAAAGCCUGACGGAGCAACGCCGCGUGAGUGAUGAAGGUCUUCGGAUCGUAAAACUCUGUUAUUAGGGAAGAACAAAUGUGUAAGUAACUAUGCACGUCUUGACGGUACCUAAUCAGAAAGCCACGGCUAACUACGUG